AGGAUCAUUACUGAAUUGUUGACACGAGUUGUUGCUGGUCCCCAAACAGGGGCAUGUGCACGCUCUGUUUACACAUCCACUCACACCUGUGCACCCAACGUAGUUCUAUGGCUUGGGGGACUCUGUUCCUCGUGCUGUGGUUCUACACCUUUACACACACCCUGUAAUAAAGUCUUAUGGAAUGCAUGCCGCGUUUAACGCAAUACAAUACAACUUUCAGCAACGGAUCUCUUGGCUCUCGCAUCGAUGAAGAACGCAGCGAAAUGCGAUAAGUAAUGUGAAUUGCAGAAUUCAGUGAAUCAUCGAAUCUUUGAACGCACCUUGCGCCCUUUGGCUAUUCCGAAGGGCAUGCCUGUUUGAGUAUCAUGAACACCUCAACUCCCAUGGCUUGCCAUGAUGAGCUUGGACUUUGGGGGUCUUGCUGGCCUGCGGUCAGCUCCUCUCAAAUGAAUCAGCUUUCCAGUGUUUGGUGGCAUCACGGGUGUGAUAAAUAUCUACGCUUGUGGUUUCCUGCCAGGUAACCUUCAGUGAUGGAGGUUCACUGGAGCUCAUAAAUGUCUCUCCUCAGCGAAGACAGCUUUGUGAAUGUUUGAUCUCAAAUCAGGUAGGACUACCCGCUGAACUUAAGCAUAUCAAUAAGCGGAGGAAAAGAAACUAACAAGGAUUCCCCUAGUAACUGCGAGUGAAGCGGGAAGAGCUCAAAUUUAAAAUCUGGCGUGCCUCUGGUCGUCCGAGUUGUAGUCUGGAGAAGCG
rnacentral:rRNA from 1 species